rnacentral:rRNA from 1 species
UACGUAGGUGGCAAGCGUUGUCCGGAAUUAUUGGGCGUAAAGGGCUCGCAGGCGGUCUUCUAAGUCUGAUGUGAAAUCUUGCGGCUUAACCGUAAGCAGUCAUUGGAAACUGGAGGACUUGAGUACAGAAGAGGAGAGUGGAAUUCCACGUGUAGCGGUGAAAUGCGUAGAGAUGUGGAGGAACACCAGUGGCGAAGGCGACUCUCUGGUCUGUAACUGACGCUGAGGAGCGAAAGCGUGGGGAGCAAACAGG